AGCGAAAAAUAAUUAGAUUAAAAUUUAAAUUUCAAAAUUUAAAUUUAAAUUCUAGAAUUCAAAUUUAAAUAAAAAUAAAAAUUUUAAAAUUCAAAUUUAAAUAUAUAGUCAGGAAUUUGAAUUUAAAAAUUUUAUAUUGAAUUUGAAUUUACAAAUAAAAUUCAAAAUGUGAUCAUGAUUUUAAUUAAAAUUUAAAGUAAAUUUCAACUUUAAAAAUAAUUUGAAAGAUUAAAGUUAGGACCAAAUAGAACCCCUUAACUAAUUCUUCACUUUCGGUGACUUUCGAAUAUUUUGAGCCGAAGUCAAAAAAGUGAAAUUCAGUUAUAACUCACUUUAUCAGACUACUUUUGUAAAGUGACUUUUAGAUUUACUUUUGCAAAUCAAAUAACCGAUAAGGCGUCACUUUUCAAAAGUGCCACUAUCGGUGUUUCACUUUCGGCCAACCAAAUAUGCCCUAAAAAGGAUUUUUCGAAAGUGACUUUAUAAAAUUGUUUGGUAAAUUUUUUUUACUGCUUGUGAAAAAUAAUAUUUUUGCUGAAUUUUAUUUUAAUAUUUGAAUUCAAAUUUUAAAAUUUGAUUUUAAAAAUUUAAAAUUUUGAAUUUACAAUCUGAUUAGAAUUUACAAUUUAAUAUUUUAAUUUAAAAUAAAAUUUGAAAAUUUGAAAAUUUAAAAUUUGAAAUAUAAAAUUUAAAAUUUGAAAUAUAAAAUUUUAAAGUUAAAUCUUGAAUCUUAAAAUUUUAAAUUUUAAAAUUUAAAUAUAAAAUAUAAAAUAUAAACUUUUUUAAUUUCAAAUUACAAAUUUUAAAAAUCAAAAUUGAAAUUCUAAAAAUUAUGCUUUAUCUUAAUUUUAAAAUUUAAAAUUUGAUAUUUAAAUUUAAAAAUUAAUAUCUAUAUUAAAACAUUUGAACUUUGAAAUUUAUAAUUUAAAAAUUGAAAUUUAAAAUUUAAAGUUAAAAUUUAAAGUUAAAAUUUAAAACGUCAAUUUAAAUUGAAAAUUUUAAGCUAAAACUAAAAUUAAAAUUAAAAAUUGAU
rnacentral:lncRNA from 1 species